rnacentral:rRNA from 1 species
UGGGGAAUAUUGGACAAUGGGGGCAACCCUGAUCCAGCAAUGCCGCGUGUGUGAAGAAGGCCUUCGGGUUGUAAAGCACUUUAGGUGGGGAAGAAGGUGUAUUGUUUAAGAGAUGAUACAUUUGACGGUACCCACAGAAUAAGCACCGGCUAACUCUGUGCCAGCAGCCGCGGUAAUACAGAGGGUGCAAGCGUUAAUCGGAAUUACUGGGCUUAAAGGGCGCGUAGGCGGGUUCUCAAGUCGGGGGUGAAAUCCCACCGCUCAACGGUGGAAGUGCCCCCGAUACUGGGAGUCUGGAGGGAGGUAGGGGUGUGUGGAACUUCCGGUGGAGCGGUGAAAUGCGUAGAUAUCGGAAGGAACGCCGGUGGCGAAAGCGACGCACUGGACCUCUUCUGACGCUGAGGCGCGAAAGCCAGGGGAGCAAACGG